GUGCAUGUUUCUUUGGCAGUGUCUUAGCUGGUUGUUGGAUGUGAUGGCUGAAGAAGCAAUCAGCAAGCAUACUGCUUCAGAAGUGCUGCAC
rnacentral:pre_miRNA from 1 species